UACGAGGGGGGCGAGCGUUGUUCGGAAUUAUUGGGCGUAAAGGGCGCGUAGGUGGCCUGCUAAGCGUGCGGUGAAAGCUCGGGGCUCAACCCCGAGUCGGCCGUGCGAACUGGUGGGCUUGAGCACUGUAGAGGCAGGCGGAAUUCCCGGUGUAGCGGUGGAAUGCGUAGAGAUCGGGAGGAAGGCCGGUGGCGAAGGCGGCGCUCUGGAACGUUUCUGACGCUGAGGCUCGAAAGCGUGGGGAGCAAACAGG
rnacentral:rRNA from 1 species